UUAGAGUUUGAUCAUGGCUCAGAUUGAACGCUGGCGGCAGGCCUAACACAUGCAAGUCGAGCGGUAGCACAGAGAGCUUGCUCUCGGGUGACGAGCGGCGGACGGGUGAGUAAUGUCUGGGAAACUGCCUGAUGGAGGGGGAUAACUACUGGAAACGGUAGCUAAUACCGCAUAACGUCGCAAGACCAAAGUGGGGGACCUUCGGGCCUCAUGCCAUCAGAUGUGCCCAGAUGGGAUUAGCUGGUAGGUGGGGUAACGGCUCACCUAGGCGACGAUCCCUAGCUGGUCUGAGAGGAUGACCAGCCACACUGGAGCUGAGACACGGUCCAGACUCCUACGGGAGGCAGCAGUGGGGAAUAUUGCACAAUGGGCGCAAGCCUGAUGCAGCCAUGCCGCGUGUAUGAAGAAGGCCUUCGGGUUGUAAAGUACUUUCAGCGGGGAGGAAGGUGUUGUGGUUAAUAACCACAGCAAUUGACGUUACCCGCAGAAGAAGCACCGGCUAACUCCGUGCCAGCAGCCGCGGUAAUACGGAGGGUGCAAGCGUUAAUCGGAAUUACUGGGCGUAAAGCGCACGCAGGCGGUCUGUCAAGUCGGAUGUGAAAUCCCCGGGCUCAACCUGGGAACUGCAUUCGAAACUGGCAGGCUUGAGUCUUGUAGAGGGGGGUAGAAUUCCAGGUGUAGCGGUGAAAUGCGUAGAGAUCUGGAGGAAUACCGGUGGCGAAGGCGGCCCCCUGGACAAAGACUGACGCUCAGGUGCGAAAGCGUGGGGAGCAAACAGGAUUAGAUACCCUGGUAGUCCACGCUGUAAACGAUGUCGAUUUGGAGGUUGUGCCCUUGAGGCGUGGCUUCCGGAGCUAACGCGUUAAAUCGACCGCCUGGGGAGUACGGCCGCAAGGUUAAAACUCAAAUGAAUUGACGGGGGCCCGCACAAGCGGUGGAGCAUGUGGUUUAAUUCGAUGCAGCGCGAAGAACCUUACCUGGUCUUGACAUCCACAGAACUUUCCAGAGAUGGAUUGGUGCCUUCGGGAACUGUGAGACAGGUGCUGCAUGGCUGUCGUCAGCUCGUGUUGUGAAAUGUUGGGUUAAGUCCCGCAACGAGCGCAACCCUUAUCCUUUGUUGCCAGCGGUUAGGCCGGGAACUCAAAGGAGACUGCCAGUGAUAAACUGGAGGAAGGUGGGGAUGACGUCAAGUCAUCAUGGCCCUUACGAGUAGGGCUACACACGUGCUACAAUGGCAUAUACAAAGAGAAGCGACCUCGCGAGAGCAAGCGGACCUCAUAAAGUAUGUCGUAGUCCGGAUUGGAGUCUGCAACUCGACUCCAUGAAGUCGGAAUCGCUAGUAAUCGUGGAUCAGAAUGCCACGGUGAAUACGUUCCCGGGCCUUGUACACACCGCCCGUCACACCAUGGGAGUGGGUUGCAAAAGAAGUAGGUAGCUUAACCUUCGGGAGGGCGCUUACCACUUUGUGAUUCAUGACUGGGGUGAAGUCGUAACAAGGUAACCGUAG
rnacentral:rRNA from 1 species